AGUGCAGUGCAGGACAGCAGCCUGAUCUGAUUGAUGCCUUGCUAUGGACACACACACUGCCUGAUGGGGAAUGGGGUCUGCGGCCGGCAAACCCGCCGAACACACAGCAUCUGAUGCUGCUUCAGAGCCCAACAAUUCCAACUCUUUGACAUGUCCACCCUCGAAUGAUCCUCCUGGAGCCCCAGCCAUCAUCAUCACCGCACCCUCCCGUGAGGACCUGUUCGCCUCCAAAACAGGACCAUCCAUAGCAGAGGCCAACAGAGAGAGGAGGCCAGGGGGGACACCGAUCGUAGUGGGACGCAGAUUCAUCACUGGAAAAGCCUGACAACACCGGACAUAACUGAGAGACACUGACCUCAGAAGAGUGUUUGAAGGAAGCUGAUGAAAGCCUUUGAGCCACGUUGCCUGCUGGAGAGUCAGACUCUACAACCACUCACAACCUUCACCACAACCCCAACCAAAUCCUUGCACACCACCUACUGCCCACCUGCAUAUAAAGACAUAUUACAGUGUGUGUGGGCUGUACUGAGAUUAUCUAUCGUUAUGCAGUCAUUAUAUCUUCUCACAGUAGUGAGUGUCCAGAUCACACACAGAUGACCCUCAGCGCACACUUCUCACACACAUACAUAGUUUAUUUUGUUAAUUAAGUGUUAUUAAAGAUUAUGUUUGCUUUAUUUAUAUCAGCUUGUUUAC
rnacentral:lncRNA from 1 species